UUAAGCGACUAAGCGUACACGGUGGAUGCCCUGGCAGUCAGAGGCGAUGAAGGACGUGCUAAUCUGCGAAAAGCGUCGGUAAGGUGAUAUGAACCGUUACAGCCGGCGAUGUCCGAAUGGGGAAACCCAGUGUGAUUCGUCACACUAUCGUUAACUGAAUACAUAGGUUAACGAGGCGAACCGGGGGAACUGAAACAUCUAAGUACCCCGAGGAAAAGAAAUCAACCGAGAUUCCCCCAGUAGCGGCGAGCGAACGGGGAGCAGCCCAGAGUCUGAAUCAGCUUGUGUGUUAGUGGAACGGUCUGGAAAGUCCGACGGUACAGGGUGAUAGUCCCGUACACCAAAAUGCACAGGCUGUGAACUCGAAGAGUAGGGCGGGACACGUGGUAUCCUGUCUGAAUAUGGGGGGACCAUCCUCCAAGGCUAAAUACUCCUGACUGACCGAUAGUGAACCAGUACCGUGAGGGAAAGGCGAAAAGAACCCCGGCGAGGGGAGUGAAAAAGAACCUGAAACCGUGUACGUACAAGCAGUGGGAGCACCUUCGGGUGUGACUGCGUACCUUUUGUAUAAUGGGUCAGCGACUUAUAUUCUGUAGCAAGGUUAACCGUAUAGGGGAGCCGCAGGGAAACCGAGUCUUAACUGGGCGUUAAGUUGCAGGGUAUAGACCCGAAACCCGGUGAUCUAGCCAUGGGCAGGUUGAAGGUUGGGUAACACUAACUGGAGGACCGAACCGACUAAUGUUGAAAAAUUAGCGGAUGACUUGUGGCUGGGGGUGAAAGGCCAAUCAAACCGGGAGAUAGCUGGUUCUCCCCGAAAGCUAUUUAGGUAGCGCCUCGUGAAUUCAUCUUCGGGGGUAGAGCACUGUUUCGGCUAGGGGGUCAUCCCGACUUACCAACCCGAUGCAAACUACGAAUACCGAAGAAUGUUAUCACGGGAGACACACGGCGGGUGCUAACGUCCGUCGUGAAGAGGGAAACAACCCAGACCGCCAGCUAAGGUCCCAAAGUCAUGGUUAAGUGGGAAACGAUGUGGGAAGGCACAGACAGCCAGGAUGUUGGCUUAGAAGCAGCCAUCAUUUAAAGAAAGCGUAAUAGCUCACUGGUCGAGUCGGCCUGCGCGGAAGAUGUAACGGGGCUAAACCAUGCACCGAAGCUGCGGCAGCGACACUAUGUGUUGUUGGGUAGGGGAGCGUUCUGUAAGCCUGCGAAGGUGACCUGUGAGGGUUGCUGGAGGUAUCAGAAGUGCGAAUGCUGACAUAAGUAACGAUAAAGCGGGUGAAAAGCCCGCUCGCCGGAAGACCAAGGGUUCCUGUCCAACGUUAAUCGGGGCAGGGUGAGUCGACCCCUAAGGCGAGGCCGAAAGGCGUAGUCGAUGGGAAACAGGUUAAUAUUCCUGUACUUGGUGUUACUGCGAAGGGGGGACGGAGAAGGCUAUGUUAGCCGGGCGACGGUUGUCCCGGUUUAAGCAUGUAGGCUGGUUGUCCAGGCAAAUCCGGAUAAUCAAGGCUGAGGUGUGAUGACGAGGCACUACGGUGCUGAAGUAACAAAUGCCCUGCUUCCAGGAAAAGCCUCUAAGCAUCAGGUAACAUCAAAUCGUACCCCAAACCGACACAGGUGGUCAGGUAGAGAAUACCAAGGCGCUUGAGAGAACUCGGGUGAAGGAACUAGGCAAAAUGGUGCCGUAACUUCGGGAGAAGGCACGCUGGUGUGUAGGUGAAGUCCCUGCGGAUGGAGCUGAGACCAGUCGAAGAUACCAGCUGGCUGCAACUGUUUAUUAAAAACACAGCACUGUGCAAACACGAAAGUGGACGUAUACGGUGUGACGCCUGCCCGGUGCCGGAAGGUUAAUUGAUGGGGUUAUCCGUAAGGAGAAGCUCUUGAUCGAAGCCCCGGUAAACGGCGGCCGUAACUAUAACGGUCCUAAGGUAGCGAAAUUCCUUGUCGGGUAAGUUCCGACCUGCACGAAUGGCGUAAUGAUGGCCAGGCUGUCUCCACCCGAGACUCAGUGAAAUUGAACUCGCUGUGAAGAUGCAGUGUACCCGCGGCAAGACGGAAAGACCCCGUGAACCUUUACUAUAGCUUGACACUGAACAUUGAGCCUUGAUGUGUAGGAUAGGUGGGAGGCUUUGAAGCGUGGACGCCAGUCUGCGUGGAGCCAACCUUGAAAUACCACCCUUUAAUGUUUGAUGUUCUAACGUUGGCCCCUUACCGGGGUUGCGGACAGUGUCUGGUGGGUAGUUUGACUGGGGCGGUCUCCUCCCAAAGCGUAACGGAGGAGCACGAAGGUUAGCUAAUCCUGGUCGGACAUCAGGAGGUUAGUGCAAUGGCAUAAGCUAGCUUGACUGCGAGCGUGACGGCGCGAGCAGGUGCGAAAGCAGGUCAUAGUGAUCCGGUGGUUCUGAAUGGAAGGGCCAUCGCUCAACGGAUAAAAGGUACUCCGGGGAUAACAGGCUGAUACCGCCCAAGAGUUCAUAUCGACGGCGGUGUUUGGCACCUCGAUGUCGGCUCAUCACAUCCUGGGGCUGAAGUAGGUCCCAAGGGUAUGGCUGUUCGCCAUUUAAAGUGGUACGCGAGCUGGGUUUAGAACGUCGUGAGACAGUUCGGUCCCUAUCUGCCGUGGGCGCUGGAGAAUUGAGGGGGCUGCUCCUAGUACGAGAGGACCGGAGUGGACGCAUCACUGGUGUUCGGGUUGUCAUGCCAAUGGCACUGCCCGGUAGCUAAAUGCGGAAGAGAUAAGUGCUGAAAGCAUCUAAGCACGAAACUUGCCCCGAGAUGAGUUCUCCCUGAGACUUUAAGUCUCCUGAAGGAACGUUAAAGACGAUGACGUUGAUAGGCCGGGUGUGUAAGCGCAGCGAUGCGUUGAGCUAACCGGUACUAAUGAACCGUGAGGCUUAACCUU
rnacentral:rRNA from 1 species